AUGAGGAUUCUUCGUCAACAACUAAACCUCCCAUGGUUGUGCGCAGGUGACUUUAAUGAAAUCUUAUAUAGUCAUGAAAAAAGAGGAGGGCCACCCCGAGCACAUAACCAAAUGGAGAACUUUAGAGCAGCACUAGAUGACUGUGGGUUGCGAGACUUAGGAUAUAUUGGUGAUAGAUAUACCUGGCCAGCCAAUUAUAUUAAGGAAAGGCUAGACCGAGCGGUGGCGUCAAGAAGCUGGUGCAUGAGGUUUCCUGAGUAUAAGGUCCUAAAUGGAGAUCCUUGUCAUUCUGAUCAUAGGCCGGUU
rnacentral:rRNA from 1 species